rnacentral:rRNA from 1 species
UACGAAGGGGGCUAGCGUUGCUCGGAAUUACUGGGCGUAAAGGGCGCGUAGGCGGCGGGGUAAGUCGGGUGUGAAAUCUCAGAGCUCAACUCUGAAACUGCACUCGAUACUGCUCUGCUUGAGGACUGGAGAGGAGACUGGAAUUCACGGUGUAGCAGUGAAAUGCGUAGAUAUCGUGAGGAAGACCAGUGGCGAAGGCGGGUCUCUGGACAGUUCCUGACGCUGAGGCGCGAAGGCCAGGGGAGCAAACGGG